AAAAUACUACUCCGAUCCAUAUUACUUGUCGCAGCUUUGUCUAGAUACGCAUGUAUCUAGACGCGUUUCAUUGGAUAGGUACAUACAUGUGUAUCUAGACAAAGCUGUGACAGGUAAUAUGGAUCGGAAGAAGUAACAU
rnacentral:pre_miRNA from 1 species